AUGGCUGUCGUCAGCUCGUGUCGUGAGAUGUUGGGUUAAGUCCCGCAACGAGCGCAACCCUUACUUUUAGUUGCCAUCAUUUAGUUGGGCACUCUAAAAGAACUGCCAGUGAUAAGCUGGAGGAAGGUGGGGAUGACGUCAAGUCCUCAUGGCCCUUACGUGUUGGGCUACACACGUGCUACAAUGGUACUUACAAUGAGAUGCAAAGAGGCGACUCUAAGCUAAUCCCAAAAAGGUACCUCAGUUCGGAUUGUACUCUGCAACUCGAGUACAUGAAGCUGGAAUUACUAGUAAUCGUGGAUCAGCGCGCCACGGUGAAUACGUUCCCGGGUCUUGUACACACCGCCCGUCACACCAUGGAAGUUGGUUACACCUUAAGGCAAAGCUUAAAACCUUUGACUACGGUACGAUCAGCGACUGGGGUGAAGUCGUAACAAGGUAGCCGUAGGGGAACCUGCGGCUGGAUCACCUCCUUUCUAAGGAAAUCGAAAAUAUUAAAACAAUUAUUUUCGAUUUAAAAAAAACCGGUAAUGUGACCGUCCUCAUUUCUCUUCUUUAAUGUCUCUGCUUACAUGUAAUUUCAAGGGGCCGGUAGCUCAGGUGGUUAGAGCGCACCCCUGAUAAGGGUGAGGUCGGAAGUUCGAAUCUUCCUCGGCCCACCAAUAUUGCGGGGGAUUAGCUCAGCUGGGAGAGCGCCUGAUUUGCAUUCAGGAGGUCAGCGGUUCGAUCCCGCUAUCCUCCACCAAAUUUGAGACAUUUAGCUUUUUAAAAUUGUAAAUAUUAUUAAUAUCAAUAUCUAUAUCCGAUUGUUUUCAGAUAUUUUUUUGAAAACAAUCAAAACAAAAAUUUGAAUUUUACACAGAAAAUUUUUUUCUGUGCAUAAAUCAAGCGUUUAAGGGCGUUUGGCGGAUGCCUUGGCACUGAAAGACGAUGAAGGACGUGGUAUACUGCGAUAAGUUUCGGGGAGCUGUAUGCAGGCUUUGAUCCGAGAAUUUCCGAAUGGGGAAACCCGG
rnacentral:sRNA from 1 species